GUGAAUCAUCGAAUUUUUGAACGCAAAUUGCGCUUCCUUGCAACCCGGGGAGUAUGCGUGUGUAAGGUUCAAUAUUAACAAUAAAUCUGGUGGGUUCAAAAUUAUGACGUUUCCGGAUUUUUGUCUAUCUUAACUUUUUUGGUUAAGGAGCUUAAAAUUGACCUUUUUUGCUCAUUUGUAGACGAACAUAAAUUUUUUUGGUUCGUCUAUUCUGAAUGCCAAAAUCUGGUGAGAUGCGAUCACA
rnacentral:misc_RNA from 1 species